CUGGGAUCCCAGCAGGAAUCCCUACGUGAGCAUUUUUGAGCCCAGUGCAGGUCUGGCCUGGAGAUCGUACCACCCGAGGAAUUCUCAAAAGUUGAAGAGAGGGCUCUGCCUUCUUCCCCCUGGUCCUGCACCUGCCCCUGCUAUGACAUCACUAACGUCUACUCCUGGUCUCCUGAGCAGCCCACAUCUGCUUGUUUGACCAGCCUCAGCCACCGAGGGGUUGAGGGCCCCAGUUCCUGCCACCUACUGUCAUCUGCUCGUGUGCAUGGAGGGGAGAGGCCCAGCAGCCCCUCACUCUGGGCUUCACUAGAACUGGGGCAGAGGCAGAAGUGGGGCACCUCCUGCUGGCCCCCCACUUCUUCCCCUGGGCCCAGGCAUGGAGGUGCCUCUCAGGAUGGAGACCACACUGUGGGAGCUGGCAGUGCGGGAACAGCCAGAUCUCAGGUCCUGGUUCUACUCCUGGGUGUACCCAGAACCUCCACAUCUCUCUCCUCACAGAUCCAGGACCUGCCGGGUUGUGUUGGAAGCUUCCACCAUGAGAUUUCGAAGGUUCUACUGCUUCUGUAUGAAAAGAGAGCCCAAGAAGGGACAGGCGAGCAGGCACUGGCCUGUGAGAUCCUCAUUCUCCUGCCUCAGCUAAGAAACGCUCCACCCACCAAUCCCUCUCCCUCCUCCUGUGUCCCCUUCCUUCUCUACCUUUCCUGGGAGGAUGCUGCAAGUGUCAGGCCUGGCCCCCAGGCAGGCUCUCAGCAGCUGGGAGCUCCCAUUGUGUAUGACAAAAACUUUGAGUGCCCACCGAGGGGAUUCCCGGCAGGAGGGAUCAGCCCCGCCUCUGGCAAGUGGAAUCUGGGCUGGGGGCCCACAGCAUCCAUGCCCCACCCCACCUGCCCAGCCAGGUCUGGCGGUGGCCCACUGGGCAGCUCCAUCCUGGGAAGAAGGUGGCUGUGCUCUCCUGAUCCACAAAGGCGCGUAGCCCUUUGGAGGUGAUUGAGGAUGCCGAUGACUAAUUGUGUCAGCAGUUGGUCUCAACUCGAGCCUUGUCCCGAUUAAAAUGGAAAUG
rnacentral:lncRNA from 1 species